GUGCUCAUUUCAGCAGCAUAUGUACUAAAAUUGGAAUGAUAUGGAGAAAAUUAGCAUGGCCCCUGCACAAGAAUGACAUGUAAAGUCUUGAAGCAUUUCUUAUUUUG